rnacentral:rRNA from 1 species
UUCUGGUUGAUCCUGCCGGACCUGACUGCUAUCGGAUUGAUACUAAGCCAUGCGAGUCAUUGUAGCAAUACAAGGCAGACGGCUCAGUAACGCGUAGUCAACCUAACCUAUGGACGGGAAUAACCUCGGGAAACUGAGAAUAAUGCCCGAUAGAACACUAUACCUGGAAUGGUUUGUGUUCCAAAUGAUUUAUCGCCGUAGGAUGGGACUGCGGCCUAUCAGUUUGUUGGUGAGGUAAUGGCCCACCAAGACUAUUACAGGUACGGGCUCUGAGAGGAGUAGCCCGGAGAUGGGUACUGAGACACGGACCCAGGCCCUAUGGGGCGCAGCAGGCGAGAAAACUUUGCAAUGUGCGAAAGCACGACAAGGUUAAUCCGAGUGGUUUCUGCUAAAGGAACCUUUUGUUAGUCCUAGAAACACUAACGAAUAAGGGGUGGGCAAGUUCUGGUGUCAGCCGCCGCGGUAAAACCAGCACCUCAAGUGGUCAGGAUGAUUAUUGGGCCUAAAGCAUCCGUAGCCGGCCCUGUAAGUUUUCGGUUAAAUCUGUACGCUCAACGUACAGGCUGCCGGGAAUACUGCA